CUAUGUUCUUCGUCGAUGACAUCUGAAGUGAAGCAAAGGUUUACCGCUAAGGGAUGGGGAUGCGUCUGAUUAGGUAGUAGGCGGGGUAACGGCCCACCUAGCCAUCGAUCAGUAGGGGUUCUGAGAGGAAGGUCCCCCACAUUGGAACUGAGACACGGUCCAAACUCCUACGGGAGGCAGCAGUGAGGAAUAUUGGUCAAUGGGCGCGAGCCUGAACCAGCCAAGUAGCGUGCAGGAUGACGGCCCUAUGGGUUGUAAACUGCUUUUAUCAGGGGAUAAAGUGGGGGACGUGUCCCCCUUUGCAGGUACCUGAUGAAUAAGGACCGGCUAAUUCCGUGCC
rnacentral:rRNA from 1 species